rnacentral:rRNA from 1 species
GGGUUGUGAGGUUAAGCGACUAAGCGUACACGGUGGAUGCCCUGGCAGUCAGAGGCGAUGAAGGGCGUGCUAAUCUGCGAUAAGCGCCGGUAAGGUGAUAUGAACCGUUAUAACCGGCGAUACCCGAAUGGGGAAACCCAGUGUGAUUCGUCACACUAUCAUUAACUGAAUCCAUAGGUUAAUGAGGCGAACCGGGGGAACUGAAACAUCUAAGUACCCCGAGGAAAAGAAAUCAACCGAGAUUCCCCCAGUAGCGGCGAGCGAACGGGGAGGAGCCCAGAGCCUGAAUCAGCAUGUGUGUUAGUGGAAGCGUCUGGAAAGGCGCGCGAUACAGGGUGACAGCCCCGUACACAAAAGCGCAUGUGCUGUGAGCUCGAUGAGUAGGGCGGGACACGUGGUAUCCUGUCUGAAUAUGGGGGGACCAUCCUCCAAGGCUAAAUACUCCUGACUGACCGAUAGUGAACCAGUACCGUGAGGGAAAGGCGAAAAGAACCCCGGCGAGGGGAGUGAAAAAGAACCUGAAACCGUGUACGUACAAGCAGUGGGAGCACAGGUUUACCUGUGUGACUGCGUACCUUUUGUAUAAUGGGUCAGCGACUUAUAUUCUGUAGCAAGGUUAACCGAAUAGGGGAGCCGGAGGGAAACCGAGUCUUAAUUGGGCGUUAAGUUGCAGGGUAUAGACCCGAAACCCGGUGAUCUAGCCAUGGGCAGGUUGAAGGUUGGGUAACACUAACUGGAGGACCGAACCGACUAAUGUUGAAAAAUUAGCGGAUGACCUGUGGCUGGGGGUGAAAGGCCAAUCAAACCGGGAGAUAGCUGGUUCUCCCCGAAAGCUAUUUAGGUAGCGCCUCGUGAAUUCAUCUCCGGGGGUAGAGCACUGUUUCGGCUAGGGGGCCAUCCCGGCUUACCAACCCGAUGCAAACUGCGAAUACCGGAGAAUGUUAUCACGGGAGACACACGGCGGGUGCUAACGUCCGUCGUGAAGAGGGAAACAACCCAGACCGCCAGCUAAGGUCCCAAAGUCAUGGUUAAGUGGGAAACGAUGUGGGAAGGCCCAGACAGCCAGGAUGUUGGCUUAGAAGCAGCCAUCAUUUAAAGAAAGCGUAAUAGCUCACUGGUCGAGUCGGCCUGCGCGGAAGAUGUAACGGGGCUAAACCAUGCACCGAAGCUGCGGCAGCGANNGUUGGGUAGGGGAGCGUUCUGUAAGCCUGUGAAGGUGUGUCGUGAGGCAUGCUGGAGGUAUCAGAAGUGCGAAUGCUGACAUAAGUAACGAUAAAGCGGGUGAAAAGCCCGCUCGCCGGAAGACCAAGGGUUCCUGUCCAACGUUAAUCGGGGCAGGGUGAGUCGACCCCUAAGGCGAGGCCGAAAGGCGUAGUCGAUGGGAAACGGGUUAAUAUUCCCGUACUUGGUGUUACUGCGAAGGGGGGACGGAGAAGGCUAUGUUGGCCGGGCGACGGUUGUCCCGGUUUAAGCGUGUAGGUGUGUGUUCCAGGUAAAUCCGGUUCACUUUAACACUGAGGCGUGAUGACGAGGCACUACGGUGCUGAAGUAACAAAUGCCCUGCUUCCAGGAAAAGCCUCUAAGCAUCAGGUAACAUCAAAUCGUACCCCAAACCGACACAGGUGGUCAGGUAGAGAAUACCAAGGCGCUUGAGAGAACUCGGGUGAAGGAACUAGGCAAAAUGGUGCCGUAACUUCGGGAGAAGGCACGCUGACACGUAGGUGAAGUGAUUUACUCAUGGAGCUGAAGUCAGUCGAAGAUACCAGCUGGCUGCAACUGUUUAUUAAAAACACAGCACUGUGCAAACACGAAAGUGGACGUAUACGGUGUGACGCCUGCCCGGUGCCGGAAGGUUAAUUGAUGGGGUCAGCGCAAGCGAAGCUCCUGAUCGAAGCCCCGGUAAACGGCGGCCGUAACUAUAACGGUCCUAAGGUAGCGAAAUUCCUUGUCGGGUAAGUUCCGACCUGCACGAAUGGCGUAAUGAUGGCCAGGCUGUCUCCACCCGAGACUCAGUGAAAUUGAACUCGCUGUGAAGAUGCAGUGUACCCGCGGCAAGACGGAAAGACCCCGUGAACCUUUACUAUAGCUUGACACUGAACAUUGAGCCUUGAUGUGUAGGAUAGGUGGGAGGCUUUGAAGUGUGGACGCCAGUCUGCAUGGAGCCGACCUUGAAAUACCACCCUUUAAUGUUUGAUGUUCUAACGUGGACCCGUUACCCGGGUUGCGGACAGUGUCUGGUGGGUAGUUUGACUGGGGCGGUCUCCUCCUAAAGAGUAACGGAGGAGCACGAAGGUUGGCUAAUCCUGGUCGGACAUCAGGAGGUUAGUGCAAUGGCAUAAGCCAGCUUGACUGCGAGCGUGACGGCGCGAGCAGGUGCGAAAGCAGGUCAUAGUGAUCCGGUGGUUCUGAAUGGAAGGGCCAUCGCUCAACGGAUAAAAGGUACUCCGGGGAUAACAGGCUGAUACCGCCCAAGAGUUCAUAUCGACGGCGGUGUUUGGCACCUCGAUGUCGGCUCAUCACAUCCUGGGGCUGAAGUAGGUCCCAAGGGUAUGGCUGUUCGCCAUUUAAAGUGGUACGCGAGCUGGGUUUAGAACGUCGUGAGACAGUUCGGUCCCUAUCUGCCGUGGGCGCUGGAGAACUGAGGGGGGCUGCUCCUAGUACGAGAGGACCGGAGUGGACGCAUCACUGGUGUUCGGGUUGUCAUGCCAAUGGCACUGCCCGGUAGCUAAAUGCGGAAGAGAUAAGUGCUGAAAGCAUCUAAGCACGAAACUUGCCCCGAGAUGAGUUCUCCCUGAGACUUAAAGUCUCCUGAAGGAACGUUGAAGACGACGACGUUGAUAGGCCGGGUGUGUAAGCGCAGCGAUGCGUUGAGCUAACCGGUACUAAUGAACCGUGAGGCUUAACCCUACAACGCCGAAG